rnacentral:misc_RNA from 1 species
UUUCCGUAGGUGAACCUGCGGAAGGAUCAUUAUUGGUCAACCGAGGUGCGAGGGCUGUCGCUGACCCGAAAUGUCGUGCACGCCCGAGUGCCCUCACACACAUCCAUCUCACCCCUAUGUGCACCACCGCGUGGGUCCCCCUUUGGCUUGUUCGGAGGGGGGCUUACGUUUUCACACAAACUUUGUAUGCAGUGUAGAAUGUAUUUUUUGUUUUUGCGAUCACGCAAUCAAUACAACUUUCAACAACGGAUCUCUUGGCUCUC